rnacentral:rRNA from 1 species
UGAGGAAUAUUGGACAAUGGGGGGAACCCUGAUCCAGCCAUGCCGCGUGUGUGAAGAAGGCCUUUUGGUUGUAAAGCACUUUAAGCGGGGAGGAGGCUACUCUAGUUAAUACCUAGGGAUAGCGGACGUUACCCGCAGAAUAAGCACCGGCUAACUCUAUGCCAGCAGCCGCGGUAAUACAGAGGGUGCGAGCGUUAAUCGGAUUUACUGGGCGUAAAGCGUGCGUAGGCGGCUUUUUAAGUCGGAUGUGAAAUCCCUGAGCUUAACUUAGGAAUUGCAUUCGAUACUGGGAAGCUAGAGUAUGGGAGAGGAUGGUAGAAUUCCAGGUGUAGCGGUGAAAUGCGUAGAGAUCUGGAGGAAUACCGAUGGCGAAGGCAGCCAUCUGGCCUAAUACUGACGCUGAGGUACGAAAGCAUGGGGAGCAAACA